GCGAGCAGGAACAGCGUCCUGGCUUCGCAUCCGGCUUCUCACAACGCUGUCGCCAUGAGGAACGCCGGCAGCUGCGUUACCGGUGCCACAACUCGAUGGCGCACGGGACGAGACCGAAGGAAACCCGCCGGCGUUUGGAAGAUGGAAGCAGGUUGCAAGGAACGUCACGGGAGCCUCGAGAUGUGGCCCAUUGACAGUCCUGGUCGCGCACACACUGGCCUGUAUGCUGUUGACACAUACUGCAACCUGCGCGAGAGCGCGGAGCAGGCCACCCGUGGUGCUGCCUCCUUCGGGCAGCCCUCUCUCACGGCGGCCUCGACGCAGCAUCGUUCAUUACUCAUCCAGCCCAGCGGACAGAACUCGGGGCCGUGUUUGGUCGCCGGGUGUCGAGAGUCCGGUCAACGUGCGCCAAAUCCAUGCAGGACAACUGUCAACAACAACUGGGUGGGGGGAAGGUCGCCGGGGACUAACGACCGUUAGAUGAAACCUGGCCAUCAUAGCGUCGCCGGGGAAACACAUAAAAUGGGUUGCUGGCGUCCAUGCGCAACUUACACAGGAAAGGAGCAAGAAGCGAUGCCAAGUAACGUCGGUUAUGCCUGGACACAACAUUUGAUAGACAGCUUACGUGGUUGCUGCAUAUACAUCUGAAGGAGAUGCUUGUCUCUUCUCACAUCUUCUGCAUGCACCAAGGAUGGUGGGUGCUCUGUUGAGCCCUUUCUUAAAGUAUAUAUGCAGCACUCUGCGAAAGUCUCCUUCACUAUACAGCCGUCCUGCCCUGCAUGGCCUUUCCCGACGAAACAUCUUGGAAGAAAUGCAAGCGAAUAUACUCACAAUCUGUCUUGGCCUCCCGACCAACACAUCAAUGAUGGACGCACUAACAGAAAGCAGGCGCCUUUAACUAUAGAUUCUGCAAACGUAAGCGUUCAAUCGUGCUCGUGUGCGGUGUCGCCAGUCUCUGGACAUCAUCUUGCUGGUUCAUAUCUUUCUAAAAUAAUCGACCUGCUCUUAACUAAUUGCCAGAGCUCUUCUGUGUCUUUACUGCCACCUUAGAAGUUCUCUACCUGACCUAUCAAUACGAAGGUGUCACGGGUAAAACGCAAAAAAACAAUCCUCGUGCCAGCAUUAGAGUAUUUUGUGCUGUAAUAUAUCUCUCAUUCUGCUAUAGGAAUAACCUCGUCUCGUCACAUCAACAACGGUGACUCUGUAACAACUGAUUCAUCUGAUAUAUAGCUGCGUCGAUUCCAGCAGCAGGUGUUCACUAUUUCCGUGAAGCUUGUAUCACAGGACCACUACCACUGUCACAGAGCUGGCAGCCCUGCGUGUAGCUUUCACUUACAUCUCAAUGCAUCUUAUAAGCUCAAAGGUCAUCUUUACAGACUCACUCGCAGUCCUGUUACGCUCUGACGUCUCCACACGCCAAUGACCAGCUCAUCAACGACAUCAUCUGUUUGCGCACCGAAGGAAGGUGUGUGACUGGGCUAGUCGGAAAUCAAUUAUGAAAGCAGCGCGCCUGUGGGCGAAAGCCUGACAGGAGUCUCGCGUCCGCCUGGGGGCUGUUUUAUUGCAACAGCAAUUAUAUGGACACUCUAGGCGAGUUUUCGCCGUCAUCGACGCCAUCGGCGUUGCCGUGCGGCUCCGUAUAUACUUAGGUAUAUGCAUGAUAUAUGUUUAUACAUGCCGUAUAUGCCGCAUAUAAAUGCUAUACUACUCAGCCACCAUGCAGGCUGUUCAAAGCA
rnacentral:lncRNA from 1 species